GUGUCUGACCCUGAGCUUUCACUUGAUUGUUUAAAAGAAAGUCAGAUUAUUGUUACUGGAAAUAAUACAAAGUCUCACGUGAUCAUAUUUCAUUCAUUUAUUGAUAGGAAAUCAGACAUGACAUAGAUGUAAUUUAAGCAUGUAUAUCAUUGAAAGGAGUCUUUAUAAGCAAGCUAGUUUUGUGAGAAAUUUUGAAAACAAUACAGAAGAACUAAUAACUAUCAAUGUCAGCAUUCACAGAUGUUUCAGGAUGUUUUUUCCUACAGCUUUUACCAGAAGUGGACAAGUAGAAUCUCCCUGAUUCUGAUAAACACUGAAAAACCAAGACUUCUGCCUGUCAAAGAAGAUAUUGCAAUAUUCCUUCCUAAAAGCAGGUAAGAAACCCCUUUUUUUAAAAAGUCUUCUUUUUUUUCUAUUUAUCAUACAUUUCACACAUCAACUACUGAAAAAGAUACAUUGUUUCUGUGUUUAAAACUACAAAUGCAAAAAUGAUCCUGUUCUGUCACUUCUUGCUCAUUGUUGCAUGUCUAUUCUGCCUUUUCACAACUUGCUCUUUUGCACCACUCUAAUUCAUUUGUGCGUUUUGCCCCCUAGCGACCAUGGCUGUAGACUGUUACCAGUGGUGCUGUUGCUACAGUAACAAUCUAAUGCCACGGUCACCAUGGAGACAGCAGGAGAAAUAUGAUUGGCUGUGGUAACCGCUGACGUCCUCUGUGGUUUUAUGAUGUUGGUGAUGCAGCCUUCAGUAGUGCUGGGCUCCAAAAGGAAACUUCAUACAGUACAGCGGCAGCAUCGUCCCACUCAUCUUAACUCUCACUGUCACAAAGGUGGAUUUUAUCACACCGUGCAGAGGUUUGCCAGACAUCAGUAGCCAUGACUGUAGACUGUUACUGUACUUUGGAGGAGUUUUAGCAGUAAGCAGUCUAGAGCCAAGGUAUUGAUGCACUGACUGGUGGAACAGAGACUAGAAUCACAUCAGGCUGCAGUGAGGAAGAGUACAAGCAUACAACAUGCAGAGGGGAAGAUGGGGGGGAUGCAGAGUGAGACAGACACCAUCAUGCAGCCCUUUGUUCAACAAUUAAAUGCCAUCUAUAAUUGCAUUAUAUAAGCAAAUCAAGGUGUGAAGUGCAAACGGAAAAAAACUGCUCUUUACCUAGAACAUCCGUGUGACGUGCUACAUUUGGCAAAUCAGGUCAUAUACUAUGACACAGCGCUGGCAGUAGCACCGCCACAUGGCCUUUCCUGUGAGAGGCCUCGGGCUAUGUAUGGCCAGACUGGCAGUUACAUAUCCCACUUGUUGUGUUUGUAGUAUUGAUUUCUAUGCCAAUUAUCUAUGACUCAGCCACAAGACUGGAAUGGACGGGAGCACAGUGUGAAUUGGUGGCUUAUGCAAGCUCAACUGACUAACUCCAAGACUGACGUCAGCAGUCAGGAAAUUUGAGUACACUGCAGCACUCAUCUGGUGAAUUUAUACAGGCUGUUUGAGGCUGUGUGAAGUCACUGUUGGUGGUGAUUUUCACGUGAAUAGGGGGGAUUUAGGAAAGUGGGGAGGUGAAUGAAGAAACAGGGAAAAUGUAAAAAAAAAAAAAAAAAAAGUUAUCAGAGGUUACCGCUGACUUGGACUUUUUUUAUAUGUUUGUCUAUGUCUAUAUUAUGUACUAGCAAUGAGAGCAAACAUCAAAGUGUAGCUCUAACCCUUAUGGAAAAACAAAUGUAAUGGUUUUAACUGAUUACUGGAAGGCCGACUUGCUCUGUGAGGAAGUAUGUGGAGUGUGUCGCUGUCCAUGGUCCUGAAGACCAACGGCAAACACUGCUGGCCGACUUUCUGCAGCUGCCUCAGCCGUAAAUAUCGCUAGAGAUGCGCCUGUCUGUUUGUAAUUGACGGGCACAUGUUUGGUAAAGGUCAGAGAGUUUUUAAAAAAUCUCUGCUGUUAAGCUACAAAAACUUACAUACAGGAUAGAGUAAGGGACUUCCAAGGCUAUGCUGUGAAAAAACUCUAGAACACUUUAUUACACGUAUAGGCUGCUGUUCAUUUGCUUGAGUACAUUUCUUAUGUUUCACUGAGCUGUUUGUACUUGUGUAACAGAAAUCUGCAGCUUCGUGUGUGUUUAAAUGCAGCAACAUGUAGGUCAGAUCAGCACCUUGGACAGCGACACGCAGCUCCAGGAGCCUGGUGGUUAUUUCACCUCUUUUUUUUCUGUUUUGUUGAAAGAUCUCCUAGAGUAAUGUAGGUCAUUUCCUAAGGCUCAUAUUGUUCCAAGCGGUUUAAAGCCAGCGUGGAUACCCUGCGCAGCUGGACAUUAAAGCUAAGAAAAAAAACAGCGGGGAGAGGUUAUCGAACCGGAGCUCAUUGUAAUUCUGGUCAUGGCCCCCUUCCAGGAGUUACCUUGGGGAGUUUUCAUCAGACCCCCAGGUCUUCCCACCCCCUCAUCUCCCCUCCUCGUAUAGAGACACAUCGCAAUGCAGGUUGUGGACAUAUAUAGGCGACUCGCACUGUGUCUUUAAAGCCCUCUGCCGGGUGAUUGGAAGCCGUCUGCAUGUGCGCAGGAAUGACGCAAAAUUGACUUCAUCUCAAGAACGCGUCACGAUGUCAUUUCAACAUGGAAAAAAAGGAAGGGGGGGGGGGAAAGCUGGGGAACUAUGGAAAGAGGAUCUCUGCCUGAAUAAUAGGUCACUUUAUUUAAAGUAAGUCUCUUCAUCGGGUGCGCGUAGGGUUUAACUGCGAGAGCGAUGCGUACAAACGGAUGAUGUGGUGUUCCUUUUAAUUUCAUCUUUACCAUGAGAGUACACGCUGUCCCAUACCACCCCGACUGCAUACACUGGCUGCUGUUCAGGUAUUAAUAAGUCCAAGAAGCAGCCGGUUAGGACGCGUCCCAUAUACACUGAUGUCCUUUUUUUAAAAAAACAAAAAAAAAACAAAAAACUGAAAUCCACCGCAUGUCGUGAUUCUCUUACAGUCUGCAGGGAUGCAGCCUGGUUAACAUGCAAUCAGCGUAGCCUACACCCUACAAGACAUUCUCCUCUUUUUUCACAGUUGUCACUGCCCAUGUGCGCCAAAGUGACUCACACUGCAGUAACUUCCAGCCUCUGUAAUCUACCGUAGAUUCACGAAACGACACGCAGAGGAAAAUUAGGUGAGACUAAAAGAGUGACCUUACACUGAUUUAACGAGCUCAUCACUGCUGAAAUGUGUCUGUACACGUGGGGCAUUGGAAAUUUGAUGAGGAAAUAAAAACUCAUGACAUAUUUAAAAAAAAAAAAAAAAAAGACAACUUACCUUUUUGGUCUUCUUGCUCCAGCUGAGAUUUCUUUAGUUUAUCAAACUGUGACCAAGGCACAGUUUUGACCGUUUCCACCGCGUAAAAUUCUAACUUGACUGACGGUAAAUGUGUUAAGAUGUCAUAAACAUGCCCUAACUAACACCACUAACAGAACUGCUGCGUAAUUCUCGGUUAAAAAGAAAUGGCUCGAAUUUAGAUUGAUUCUCCAUCUCACAUCUCGUUCUUGCGCCUCGGUAUCUCAUGAAAUUCAGCGGGCUGUCCCGGUGAUCUGCUCUUAUAGACAUCCCGUAGUACUAGUAAUGGAGAUGGGAGGGGACACUCAUUCAUUCAGAAGCAUCACCUACAUGGACGAUGUACGUGGACUCUUACGUCAUCGAGGAAAUUUAGUCAACAGGAGGACGCUCAGGGUUCCGCGAGGAGGGGAGGAAGGAAGAAAGAGGGGGGAGAAAAAAAAGGGAAAGAAGGCAUGACAAGGGGGUCAGGGGAACAAUAUUUGACUGUUUAUUGGGUACAGUAAUGCAACACCCCUCUUUCUCCUCAGUCCUGCUUUCUGUUUGUCAAGCGUGUUACAAAGCAGUGGAUUAACUGCUCCCCCAGGAACUUGCUUAGGAGGUGUACAAGCAUGUGUGCCAAAGUGAGGCAGGAGCAAAAGAUCUCACAGGAGGAACCAAGAAAAGUUGACUAAUUAGUCAUCGAGGAUCCCCCCAACCCCACCCACCCCCAAUUUGUCUUCUUGGUUUGUGUGUAUAAGCCUGUGUACAUGUGUGAAUGAUCAGUGUUUGUUCUUUAACCCUGUUUUUUUUUUUUUUUUAAUAAGUGCUCUCUUCUCCUCAUUAGAGAAUCAUUAAUCAAACAGGUCUUUGUCAUCUAUGGAUCAUCUCCAGGAGGCCCCAUGAAGCAGUGGGACUCCACAACUGGGAGUGAAUGGACGUCAAGCGGAGAUGAACCAGCUUUGGAUAAACGUGUUCUACUGCAGAUGUGAGUAGGAGGUGAACCAGAGUGAAUGACAGCGAGAAGGUGGAAUUCUUUCAUUGGCUGCUGAUGGCUGAUAUUACAUGUAUGGCUGUGUGUCAUUUACCUGGAGAAGAGAUGGCAGCAGGAUGCACUGUGGGAAGAGGUCAAGCCGGUGAAGGAAAUGCGAUGUCCUGGACAAUGUUCUGUUGGAAAACACUGGGUCCUUGGCAUUCAGGUGAACGCUACUUUGACACCACUAACCUAAACACUAUCGCAGACUAUUACGUUCCUUCAUUGCAGUUGUGUUCACUGAUACCAGUGAUCUCUUUCAACAGGAUAAUGCUUCUUACUACCCUUCAAAAAUUGUUCAGAAAUGGUUUGAGGAGUAGAGUUCAAGGUGUUGACUUGAUCUCCACAUUCCUUAGAUCUCAAACUGAUUGAGCAUCUGUUGGAUGUGCUAGAAAAACAACCCAUAGAGGUCCCACCUUGCAAUUUACAGGACUUGAAGGACCUGUUGCUAACAUCUUGGUGCUGAAACCGCAGGACACGCCUCAUUAAAAGACAUAAUUUGAAUGGUCAGAGCUGUUUUGGUAGCACAAGGAGGAUUUUUUAGGUGGUUUUAAUGUUUUGGCUGAUAGGUGAUCUAAGAGAAGUAUGAGAUCAGGUCACCAACAGAUGUCAGUGUUGGUCUGACAAAAUUUUACUGACAUCUCCUGAACAUUAUGUAUCUUUCAGUACAUCUCUGUAAAACAAGUCUCCCAAUGAGCACCCAGGAAACACAUGCUUAGGCGAUAUAAGAUUAGUUAUUCAUAUUCUUUCUAUUGAGAAGGCCAUAAUGAUUUUGCAAAGCCUCCGUCUCUCUUCUCACGCAUCUUGGAGAUAAAGAUUUAAUAAAUAGAGGCUAUUGACUUCAUGCGUUCGUCUGUUUUAAACAACCUCGUCUUUGCUAGUUCACAUCUAUUAUUCAGUAAUAUUGUACAUUUCACUAUGAACAAUGUACGGAUACGUUUCUCAAAACCUCUGCACCAUCUGCAGUCACUUUCACUUCUAUCUAUAUUUAACACUUCACAUUGCAGGUGCACACCAAGGUCCUAUUUGGAAGCAACAUACACUAAUUCUUUAUAGGAAAUGUGAAUUGCUUAAAUUUGCUAUCUUGAUGAAAAGUUUGUUUCACUGGAAUUUCCUGUAGUGACUGUGUGGGUUGAGAUUGCAGCUCCUAGCUGCCAUGGGAAUAGCAGAUAUGGCUGUGAUAUGAAAUGAUUUAGUGCUACAAUCUAAACCACUGCUGGUUGGCUGCAGCACGGGUCACCACACACUCUGGGUGUGUAAUCUAUCUCUGGUGAACCUCACACAGGAUAUGCCAACACACACUUUAAACCCGCUGAAUGCCUUCCUUUCUCAAAAUCUGUUUUAUACUUUGCAAUCUGAGUCACAGGGGAGGUUUGUGGUGAUUUGUGUUUGUGAUUUUCAUAGCAAUGUCAAGUAUUUAUCACUGUGUUGGAGUACCAUGCUCGAGCAGAACAUGGAAACCUUCCUGUUACUACAAUAUAUGGCACUUGACUGUGUGACGGUCAAGGAAGGCCACUGGAAUUCUGCAUGUCCACCCUUCAGAGAUUUGUAGACUAGUUUAUGCUAGCAGGGAACAUUAUCUUGGACAGAGUCAGGGUACACAGGAUUCUCACAUGAUGAACAUUUUCUUAAUACCAGGCCUGCUUCUCGACCAAAGAGCCCUGGAGCUCAAGGCUUAGAAUUUAAACAGGGAAAGAAGGCCAAAGAAUCAGGAGAAAGGCAAAGUAAACAGGAAUCAUCAUUUAUUUAGAUAUUUACUAAAUGUGUGCUCAGUGUUAAUCUCUGAGCACAAAUUUCUCUCCUGAAAAAAACAUUUGCAAAGUUUAUUUUCUUCACACUUUUAAUUGCCCUUUGUUCAUGUCUGUGUUUCACUGCAUUUCUCUCUGACUUUACUGGUGCACUUUGGCUGUGUUUGUUGGCAUAUUACUGCCACCAACUGCCGAUCAGUGCAAUAGCAUGAAACCAACUGUGUGAUUUGUCGCUACCACAUGAAUGGGCAUCAUUGUUAGUAUGUAUACUACAAGCGCUUUUAAAAAACACUUGAAGACUUUCCUUUUUCAGGAGACUUUUAACUUACCUACAGGACUCCUUUUUAAAAUUGUAAUUUUAAGUGUUUGUACUGUUUCUUUUUACUGUGUGUUUGUAGCACUUUGUGAUUUCUUCAAAUGACAAGUGCAUUAUACAUAAAAUGUAUUAUUUUUAUUACAAGUGAAAUGGCUAACGGUUUUGUCUGUAUCAUGCACACUGCUCCAUAGCUAUGCUAAUGGUCAUAAAUUCCACAGGGGACCUUUGCCUUGUAAAUUGUGGUGUCAGAAAGCAGUUGGAGAACUUUCAGGUUAAAAACAGGGUGGAAAUGAGUCUGUAAUAGGUAAUCAGUUGUGGUUAAUCUUAGGAUUAGUCAAGAUUAGAAUUAAAAUUAAUUAAUAGAGAUGCCCCAUACAGACAACUCAUUGAAAUAAUUGUUUGCCAGCUGAUUUACAGCGUGUCAUAUCUGCAUGAGAAACUCUACCUUUUUUGGAAUAUCAAACACAUAUGCAGCUCUGAAAUAUAUCACAUGAUCUCUACUGACUAAUUUUCCACUUACUUUGGCCUUUGUCGUUUUACAAUAUGAAACAUGUAAAACUUAUGUAGUUCCUUACUUAUAAAAAUUUGGUUACAUGAUCAACCUUGAGAACAAAAUUUUCCUUGACAUCAGCAGUGACUCAGCCCAGGCUGUCAUUACAGUCUGGGAAGCACGUAAAGUUACAUGCAGGGGCUGAAUCAUGAGUUCUGCCACAAAUAAGAAUUAGAGAAAACCAGGAACAGCCUGCGUAAUGUUGUACAUUGAGAAUUCGGGUUUAUUAUUGACCAUGGGAACAGGAAGCUUGUUUUAAGAAAGUGUUGUGUAUUCUAACCAAGUGGUAGACCCUGAACAAGUUUUAAUUUGCUGAAAAAGUCAUAAAAUAUGUCCGAAAGCCUUGAAAAAGCUGGUAAGUGAAAACUAACUUUAGAAUAUGUUAUUAUGUGUGGUAGAUUGGCUAAAUCCGGUGCUUCAAGGGCCUGAUGAUUUAUCAUUCCUCAUUAAUUAAACACAAGUACUGUAUUUUCUUGUGUUUUCAUAUGGCAAGUUGGUGAGUCAACCUUUCUACCAGAGUCUGAAGUGUGCACGUAGUUUUUUAUGUGAGUAUACAGUAUAUGUGUGUAUGUGUAUGUGUUAUCAUGCUCAGUGCACACUGCCUGUGGUCUGGCUGCAGCAGCUGCGUGGCCAGAGUCACGUCCUUUAGUGCAAUGCUUGUGGGAAUGUGGGGAGUUUGGUUGAGACCAGCUCGUAAAACAUUGCACCCUGGCACUGUCCUGCUUCCCCUGCAGACAGGGAAGCAGCGACCGAUGGGGAAGCCACACAGGCAGCCAGUGUCAGGAGCUUCUCUCUACUGCUGCUGUUUUUUCAGUCCCACACAUGCUGUAGCUCAGCUGACCCAGAGGUCAGGACCUUUAGCUUCUGGCUGCUGUGGUGUUCUGUGUCUGUGACCAGUUUCACUUCACCUGAACAGAGAACAAUUAGAUUUUAAUGAAAGCUGCUUUUUCUCACGUCUACUAAUUAUAACUAGGUUGACUGUAUGCUAGUGUGGACUUAUUCUAUUAUUUACUUAUGGAUGUAUUUCUUUUAAUCUUCACCACCCACUGCAACAACAAAGUAGAAUUUGGUGGUAUUUUUUAAAAAAUAUAUUGAAAUAUCUUUAGUUAAAGGAAACAAUAACUGAUCAGUACAAUAUUGAGGUCACUAUCAGUGUACAAAGACAGAUGAGCCAUGAAGGCAUACAGGGGCAUCACAUAGAUGAUUCAGUUUUCAGAAAUAAUGGCGAAACUUCAAAGGGAAAAGACUGAAGUUACUAAUUUAACUGGAAUCACAAGUUGCUAUUCAAGGCAAUGAAUUUAUACAUUUUGCAAAAGUUUCGGCUUUGCUCAGACUGCCCUUUUGUUUUAUCAAUGCACAUGCUUCAAGACUUUUAAAGCAUUGCAAAAACAAAUCUACAAUAUUCUAAAUAAAAAAAAUAAAUAAAAAGAUAGGGAAAUUAUGCAUGUUAUAGACGGUAGGGUUCAAUUUAAGGGAACUGGACUCGACUGAAAGUAGGUUUAAGAUCAUAUUUGACCUUUUGUUCCAGAAGAGGUAGCAGAAGUGACUUUGUGGUUUGCUGCUGGGUUGCACUGCGCAAGUGAGGGUGGAAGUACCUCUGCCCUGUCAAUGCACUCUCUGUGGGUCCUGCUCCCACACUUUCACACACUCAUACAGGCGCGCGCACACACACACCCACACACACACACACACGCAUACACACACACACACACACACACACACACACACACACACACACGCACCUACACACAUACACACACACACACACACACACACACACACACACACACACACACACACACACACACACACACACACACAGUGCAUAGGCCAAGCAAUAAUUAAAAGCAAAAGUAAAUCAGUGGUUGUUGGAUGUUUUAUGCAUCAUUACAGUCCAUGGAAUACUGCACCACAAGUGUAGAUCAUUGCUGACAGCUCUCAUUUUCUAUGAAGUGAAGAAGCUAUAUCGAGACCUCACUGUACCCAUCCAUAUAUUCAUAGUUAAACCCAUUGAAACAAGCCUAAGUAAGUGUGUAUGUUCACAUUUGCAUGCAUGCUUCUAAUGCAUAUUAAUUGAAUAUGUUUGAUUCUUUGCACAUUUUUUUUGUUUUACGUGAGUACAACAGUGACACCACAUGUUCGGAUUGUUUGCAUGUCUGCGUGUGAAUGGUUGUGUAGCAUUUGUGAAUGUGUCAGGGGAGAAACCUAAGCCACCGCUGGCUCCACAGGGCUUCACCAAUUCCCAGAGGUCCCAAACCCAGGCAGCUCCAGCGCUGUCCUGGCCUCAGUCGCAGUCUCCAUCUCUGUGCUUCUGCCAUGCCCUCAAACCCUUGGAAGGCCUUCUUCCUGCCAUAAAUGUCACAAUCCUCUCUCACAAGAUAAAUGAAGCUGCAGCCAUGAGCCAAAUGAGAUAAUCUAAAAUCAGCAGCAUCUUCUUGCACCUUCUAUCGCUCUGCAGCUCGCUUUUUUUUUCUUUUCUUUUUUCCACAGGAUGUAGUCGGAGCUUUUGAAUCUGUGCAAACGUGUCUAUUUUAGACAUGUUUUAUGCCUCCUUCUCUGUGUUUGUGUUUUGUAAAUGAGAAAAGCUUUGACAGUAGUAAUGAGAUAGAUGCAUGUGGGGCAAAUAAAUUAAACCAAUCAAUCAUAAAAAUUAAAUCAGCCAUUAACACUGACAAAAAAAAUUUAUUUUCUGUGCUUAAAGCUAAUUCAUUUGUCAGAAAAGAUGUUUCCAUCAAAUUUCCCAAAAAUAAAGAAGCUACAGAUCAUGUGGUAAAGACUGUGUACAUUUUUUCGAAUUAUUGUUUGACACAGGAAUGUGCUAUGUACAGUUUCUCAGUUCCUUGUUUCCAGGGGGAAAAAUUUAGAUCAUAUAACAUAACAAAAAACCAUGAUAUGCAUCUAUAUUCACUUUACUGCAGUGGUGUCAUGAGAUUAAUUGCACUGUGUUUUAUAACGUAAAUGUUGAUUUUAGCAAACUGUUUAAUACAUCAUCCAUGAACCAAAAAUGUAAAUUACACUCUGCCUAAAAGAUGGCCUCCUCUUUCUUUUCUUCACCGGCAUGUACAUGAACACACAGCGCAAGACACUCGUGUUCAUGUACAUGCCGGUGCAUUUGUGUCCAACAGUUUGUGUUCAACUCAAGUGUUGAAUUGAAAUACAUGUUUCUCUCCUAGGGAGUUUUAUUUGCAUUUUGUAUAUUUUGGUUUUGGUUUUACUUUUGUGUCAGGAAAGAGCUAAUUCUAAUGUCCAUCUAAUAUAAGGUGUAUAUAAUUAGAAUGAAAGAAGUUAAAGUCUCAAGUCUUACCCUCUUGCUCACUUCCCACCAGUGAGAAAAGUUUAACCUAUUUUGUAAUAAUUAAAAUCAGAAUUUUGCCACAUUUGUCACUUUUUUAUCAGUUUUAAAACACAAGUCUGCUUAUAUGUUUGUGACAAUAUAAUUAGGUUGCAAAAUAACUAGUAUCACUUUAAUAUGUGCAUGUUUUAUUUUCACGAGUAAGACAUCACUUUUUUAAACAUUGAAAAGCUGCAGGAGAGUCAACCACGACAAAAAAGUGUCUAAUUUUCUAUGUAGAAAUAUUACACAAAGGUACAUAAUGUGACUUCAGAAUCAUUAAACAAGCAACUUUGCUCUCUCUGGCUGUCUCUGUGUAAAAGGAAGCAGUACAGCUUUUUGCCAUCUCUAUCUGAUUCUGUAUGUUCGCUUAUCUUCAGUAGCAUUUGGUGACCUGUUUCUGCCUCUCUGCGGUUUUGCUUUUUUAUUCUGAACUGCGCUCACUUUUUGUGGCAGCGGGCCACACAAACGUGCACACACAGACACAGCGCCUGUACCCAUGACCUAGACUUUCAUUACUAUUCCAAUAAAAAUACACAUUGCACUAAAGAGUCAUUCAACAUCAAUGAAACACAUACGCUUCAGCCAAGGUGCAUACUUCUCAUUCACUCUUCUCACAGUUCCAGAAAACAGUGAUUGAAUCUUGAAUGGAUGUGAUUAUGAUCUACUGUCAGAUUCUGGGGCCAGAUCAGACAGAUGAAGGUGUGUGUAUGCCAAGCCAGCUGUUGUUGGCCAUGAAAGGGUCUUGGCUAACUGGCUAGCCUUUUCAAACAGACCUUAUCUUCCCACAGCGUUGGCUUGUAACAAUGUAAAAAGCUUCUACCUGUACACAUGGACAGCUGGACUUGAUAAAAAAAAAAAAAAAAAAAAAAAAAGAGAAACCCAGAGCUGUAAGUAGUGAAUUGAUUAAAAUUGCACAAUUAUUUAAAGGACUGCAAAAAUAUGUGACCACACAUGUUUGUUACAAGCUACAAGGUUGUAACAAACAUGUUUUGGUAGGUUUAGUUUGUGUUUGGAGUAGAAAUCAAGCUCUGACAUUGUCUAUUUCCAGAGCAGUGAUGGUCAUAAGUGGCCUACGUGGGACUGGAACACAGAUGUACAAUUCUAGACACGUACCACUUGUCACCGAGUGGGAGAAGUCAAACAGAGUGAAAGCCACAUUAAAAGAAGUGACGACGUUCAAAACGUCUGAGGUUGACUUCCUCAAUUGUACUAUUAGAAAAAAAAUCCAGUGAGACUUUUAUGUGCCAGUUCAAAAAGAUUGAACAUAAUAUAUUUUCAAGGUAUCCUGUGUAAGCGAUGAAACAAGGCACACAAUAAAAGAAAUAAAUCAACAACAAAAAGCAAAAGGAUACAGAUUAUUUUUCAUGUGUCGCACAAGCACAUGUUUACUUCACACUUGUACAUGACAGAAAAUAUGUCCUUGGUGCACUUUGGGGGAUCAGCAUGAGUUGUCUCACAGGAAGCUGAUGAUCACCAUCAUGACUCACUACAGCAGAAAGAGGGAGCGGUAAAGAGAGGCUGAGCAAGCGAUGGGUAUCAGUAGGCAGGGAGAAGAGAUAGCAGCACCUUGGCAGCUGUUGCCAGGGUUACCGCCUCUCGUCAGCACUGGCAAGCACACACAGGAGCGUUGCUCGUACAAAGGCAAGGCCAGCACGCUUCUUAAAAUGUGUGAGGUGGACACUGGAGAACCCUUGAAACAUUGUUCAUAAACUGUUUUUGUUGUGCUGCAUUAGUAUCUGUUUUGUACACGUUUGUGGGUGGGUGAAGACAGGUGGAGGCGGGUGGGUGUGAGGGCUGACGCUGUAUUCUGCACAUUUUGUCUGCCUGUCUUUUGUACUUAUAGUCUUUUGAAGCUGAGUUUUACACCUCUGUAAUGUGGACAUUAAGGCAAAAUGAGGUUUAACAUUACAUAACAUUAGACUUGAGUGAUGGUGUUGGGUCUGUGGUGAACGGAGUCGAGGUUAUUGUUGGAAAUAAGGAAAUGAAUGCUGUCCAUGAAAGUCCAAGUCUAGCUGUGCUUCCAAGGGCAGCGCUGGAGGGAACAGAAUGGAAAUAUUCUAUAUUUUUGAUGAAAAGAUGCAAAAUCAACAAUGAUUGCUCUAAUUUAGCCUGUUAACAAGUUUUGUGCGUAAAGCCAAAGCAAAGAUUUGGGGCCUCGGCAGUACUGGAAGGACCCGAGUGCUACUGAGAAAGUCAGAAAGUACAGAUCGAUCAACUGCAGCAUUGAUCGUUUUGAUGUUUUCCACGGAAUCUGUUAAAGAUGAGAAAACUCCAGCUUCAUCCUUUAACCCAUGUUAACCAGAGUGGCCUUUAGAAGUGAAUAAUGCACCCACUCAGUGCAGUUUAAACACAUUAUUUUCUGUGUGUGUGUGCCCACACAUGCUGCAAGUGCAUCUCCUACUUCGAAGGGCAGCGCUUAGCCUAACAGAGGGAUUACCAGCUGACUGUGGGAUAAACACCUCGCCACUUGCACUAACACUAAAGUGCCAGACCUGCUCAAGGACAUCUGUAUACUCACCCACAAGUGACUGUGUAUAAUCUAUAGAAACACUCUUAUGGUGUGUUGAUACUGAAGGUGAUUUAUGGGCAGCUCAACAGAGACUACUGUAUAAACUAUUGUUUUAAUCCUGCCUGCUCUGGGUCAGCGCCUUGUUAAUGUCUGUCUAUAUGACUCUGCAUAUUAAAGACAGCCAUUAGCUUUUGACUAAUGACUGGUUCUCUGUGCCCGAGGCUACCUUUAAACAGCCUCCUGUCUUCUGAGGCAGCUUCGGCUCAGCUGUGUCAGACACAUAAAGGUGCAGUAUUUAGCACCAUGGGCUGCCCCGCUUGUUGUUGAGUCAACUGAGAGAUUUCCCUGUUAAUGGGUGGGUAUUUUUUAAAGUUUUUCCACUUCCACUGAAGGAUGUUUCUGUGUUGCAUUAAGCACUGCGCUUUUGGAAAGGCAGGAAUUACAGGGUAACCUUGCCACAACUACAAGAAUAUUCCAUUUGAGUUUUCUUUAAAAACUGUAUUUUUCAGCUCAGCUUAUCCAUUUCAGGAAAACUUUAUUUGACAGAUUUUGAAGUAUUCGCCCUGCAUUGUAGUUGUAUUACUUGCCAAUGCUUGCAAAAGAGAACCAGUAAAAUAGUAUGAUAUUAGAUACCAUUUUACACACACAACAAAACGGCAAUAAAUCUGCUAAAACUGAGUCUUUAAGUGCAAAAUAUCUUUCUGAACCACUUACUAAUCAGCUUGGCAAAUACUGACUCGAUAAUGUUACAUUUCUUUGGUGAAAGUGUCAAAGUCAGAUAUGUAUGAUGUGUCUUUUCUCUCCACAGAGGCCAAAAAGGUAACAAUCAAAUUUAAACCAAGCACUUAGCUUUACUCUGUGUUUAAAAAUGACUAUCAUAACAUUGUUAAACAUGAGUUUGUCAUGAUUGGAACCCCUCUUCAUCUUAAAGAAGAUAGUGUAGGCCAGCUGCCUUGUUAAGUGGCUGGUUUUCUGAGAGACUUUUCUAUCAGAUGAGCCCUUUCUGUGUUUGCUACUCCUGUUAACAGCUUCUUUACUUAUGCGAACAGGCCGUCUUGUCUUACAUGUAUGCUCAAAUGAAGAGUUUAAGUUCAUAUGUGCAGUUAGAAACGGCAUCAGCAGAGGGCAGACUCUUCCUUUGACAGAGUAAACCAGUGCCUCCGGUUGUGUUUGCUGCACUGGCUGCUUUGCUGCAUAAACACUGUGAUACUGAUUGACACAUUGACUCUUUGACAUUCAGUGUCACCUUCAUUUAAACCCGCUCUGUCUUUAAGCUCACUUUCGCUCUCUGUCUGUCUUCUUGGGUUUAUCUCAGCCUGUCUGACUGCCGGCCUCCUUUUUUUCCUUUUUCUUCUUCUUCUGUAUCUCUUCCUCUUCUUCUUCUUCUUCUUCUUCUCUGUCUCUGAGUUAUUGCAUGUGUGUGUGUUGUCUGGUCUCUGUGACAGUGUCUGGGAGUUAACCAAUCGCGAGAUGAGAACAGGGUCCAGAGAGGGCUCAGAGGCCAUGAGAAAGACUCGGCCACCCCUCCAACACCCGCAACCUCUCCCCCCAAAACCAGCGCUGCUCUCACCCCUGCCGACGCUCUGACACACACACACUUAGUCUGUCACAUGCGCUCAACACAAACAGCAGUGCACACAUGCUUAUAUGCAUCAGACUAGUGCAAAAUCUCAAGAAAAGAAAGGCCAGUUGCUUGCAGACAUGAUAAAGUCACAGAUAAGCACUGCGGGUUGAUUAGGAAACAGUCUGAUACUGUGACCAUGCAAAUGAGACACAGCGCAUCUCCUGCUCAUUUCCCAGGGUCAAGUUCCCCAUCUCAGUUUAGCUAUGUAUCGUCACCACAAACACAUUUUCUCAUGUGCUUAUUUACCCUGUAGCUAUGUGGGCAAGUCGUAGCACUCUCAUCAGCAUUGCUUCCCAAACUGAUUCUGACAGAUUUGUUCUCUCCUGCUGUAUAAUGAGCAACAUGCACACACUGGCACUAUUGCACAUUCCUGUGUUGGUCUUCAUGUGUGUGUUUUUAGUGCGGAUGUGUGCCUCUUAGGCCUCUCUGCAUGUGCCUCCUUCAAUGACCUGUAGGCCUUCCCACUCUUUUUUAUUAACAGUUAUUUUACUCAUUGAUGCUCCACAGACACUGUAGAUUAACACAUGUAAUAGUAAAUGCAAAAUAGAAGACAUCUGUGCUCCAUAUUUGGUGCAUGUCAUGUUAUUUUAUUACCUUGCAUAACCUUUAACUGUAUUAUUGCAUUACAUGAAGUAAAAAUCUUGCUAAGUUUUUGUACUCGUGUGUGUUGUGCCCUGACCUGUUCAUGAACCUUAACCUCAGUGUGCUGGUGUUUCAAGAGAGCUGCCACACCAGGCAGAAGUGAAACUUGUGGGUGUGUGGCUUUGUGUCAACCUGCUCUGUGUGUGUGUGUGUGUGUGUGUGUGUGUGUGCGUGCGUGUGUUUCUAAACAUGUGCCUAUACGUGUGUAUGUGUGUCUUUUCAUACCCACAUCUGUGCAGACAGCAUUCUGCUGCUGCACCUCUGACGCCUGCCUCUCUCUUCUUGUUCUCCAAAUCUCUCUCAUUUUCUGACUUUGUGGCGGGCAUGCUCACUUUGCUGUGGUCACAUAUACGCACACUUUUGCUGUCGCACUGGGGCCAAGAGUCAUAUGCACACGCUUUUGUAUACACACGGGCAGAUCGGCACGUACGCAACCUGAUUUGUGCACGUAUCAUCCUUUGCCCCUUUUUCAGAGCAGCCACCUUGUGCAUGGGAAGGCACAUGUGUUCGAUUUCACAUACUCGCAGAUAUAUUUACUGUUAGGGGAUGUGAUUAUGAAAGCACCUGUAAGCCUAACAUUCAGGAUGAUUUGUCUUUUGUGAUAACAGUUGUCAUGUGUCUUUGUGGUUUGCAGGGAGAAACAUGAGCUGUCCAUUGGUCUGUAAGAGUGUGAGAGUUAAAACAGUGGGAAACAGAGAAUGUUGAGUGCAACUGUUUGGGAGUUUUUUUCACACGUUAUGUAGAACGAAAGAGAAAAUAUCCUCAUUAUGAGACUGUAACGCGAAGGAAAUGUAAAAUUCAACAUGACGGUUGGCUAGAAGCCUAAAUAAGCAUCAACCAGUUAAUAUAAUGAUACAUACACAUGCUUUAAGGCAACUUGUGUGAACAUGCAGUAUGCAGGUAUCUCUUACUCCAGAGAUGCAUGUUUCUGAGCUAGACCUAAAGACCUGCCCAUUUUUCAUUGUUUGCUGUCUGUCGAUGCUCAUUUAUUCACUUUCCGCUCUCCUCUCACCUCAACCGCUGGAGGAAAACAGCCGCCCACCCUGAGUCUAGUUCUGGUGGAGGUUUCUUCACAUUGAAACCCAGUUUUUCCUCCCUGGUGUCACUAAAUGGGAAAUGGCUUUCUCUCUAUAACACUAUUAGGUGUUGAUUUGUGAUAAGAUUUGGCGCUAUAUCAAUAAAAUUGAACUGCACUGAAAUAUUCACCCAAAGGAUACAUUUAUCUUAAAAAGACAACUGGUUAGUUAUGACACGAUAUCAACACAGAUGUUGAUGUUAGUUUCUAAGAGUUCAAGCAAGCAAAGUGCUCUCUCAUCAGUUUUGCUUUUUGAAAUAAAUUUGUGUCGUUUGUUUUCUGUGGUUUAACAUAAUGAUAGUAAAAAAAUAAUAAGAAUUUAUUUCUCUGGCACCUUUCAAAACUGGAGUUACAAUGAAAGCUUGAAAGUGACAAUAAAACAUUAAAAGAAGACAAUAACACAUUAGUAAGAACAGUGAAAUCUUAAAAAGAGGAAUAACAGAAUAUCAGAAAAGGGAUAAAAUACACAAAUGGUUAUUUGUACAGGUGGGAUUUCUCUGUAGUUAGUUUUGGUUGAUUAGAAUUGUGGGAUCUUUCUGAAUGAAUAAAUUGAACCUUGAACCUGAAAACACAAAAAAGAAAGUGUGCAAACAGAAACAGAAACAUCACAACUACUUAAAUUUUACACCAUUUGUCAUAUCCCACAUCAGACUUCAGGGUCCAAGUCCAUACUGAAAGAAUGUCACACUAUAUGAGCCUUUAAAAGAUUGAAAAAAGCUAAUUAGAUGUCUCUGUCUCUCUUGUUAAUCAUCUUCAUUGUGCUCUCUCUAGAGAUGGACAAUGCGUUUCAACAACACCAUAAUGCGUUACACAUAAUAGUCUUCAUGUUUAACAAUGUGAGAGCAUCUAAAAUGCUUUUACACUUUAAAUGGAUCAACAGUACAAUCCAAAGCAGCAGCAUUCUCCUCAGUGUAAGUAUCCAAUGCAGUAUUUUCCACUGUGCAGUAUUCGGUCAUAAUGCAGAUAUAAAGAUAUCAAAAUUGGACAGAAAGAGAAAUACUCAAGGGCUGGAAGUGUGUAGCCAGCCUUUGACUUCUCAGCAAAGCACAGCUGAGAGUGAUUCAGCCAUUGAUGGAGUUUCCAGCGAAGGUCCUCUCAGUUUUCUGCUGCCCUGCCAAUAACCACCAACCUCUUUCUCUUUCCUGGCUUUAGCCCUCACCCAAGGGCAACCAGAAUUAGGCCCAGGGGGUCCCGGGGGGGUCAGAGGGAUCAACAGGAACUGAUGUGUGGGUGGCAGUGCCAAGGGAUAGACAAAGGAAUGAAGAGGAAGAAGAAGAGGGAGGUGGGAGGGCACUCAGGAGGCCUGCAGAGAGGGAGGAUUUACCAGCAAAUCGAGUGAAACAUUGUGUGAUUCAGGCCCCAGUCGAGAGG